GAGUUUGAUCAUGGCUCAGAACGAACGCUGGCGGCAUGCCUAACACAUGCAAGUCGAACGAAGUCUUCGGACUUAGUGGCGCACGGGUGCGUAACGCGUGGGGAUCUGCCCUUGGGUACGGAAUAACUCAGAGAAGUUUGUGCUAAUACCGUAUAAUGUCUUCGGACCAAAGAUUUAUCGCCCAAGGAUGAGCCCGCGUAAGAUUAGCUAGUUGGUGAGGUAAGAGCUCACCAAGGCGACGAUCUUUAGCUGGUCUGAGAGGAUGAUCAGCCACACUGGGACUGGGACACGGCCCAGACUCCUACGGGAGGCAGCAGUGGGGAAUAUUGGACAAUGGGCGAAAGCCUGAUCCAGCAAUGCCGCGUGAGUGAUGAAGGCCUUAGGGUUGUAAAGCUCUUUUACCCGGGAUGAUAAUGACAGUACCGGGAGAAUAAGCUCCGGCUAACUCCGUGCCAGCAGCCGCGGUAAG
rnacentral:rRNA from 1 species